UCUAAAGCACUGUGAUCCCUCCUGGAGAAUCAGACGGAUCCUGAGGAGUGCUCUGAUUUUCAAGACAGUUCUGGACGAACACUGACACAUUCCUACUUUCGGCUUCUUAUUUUCAAAUCAGUUGCUAAAGCACCAUGACAUCAUCCUAAGUGAGAUUAUGAACCAGAAAGAAUCUCACACUGAGUAAAUGUGAGGAUUAAGGAGAAGGAAGCAGCUUUACAGAAAGACAUCAGAUCAAUUAAUAUCUACUGCACCUAAAAAUAAAAUCUGACUCACCCCAUGACAAGAAGUCAGCUACCAUGUUGUGAGGCCACUCAAGAAGACCCAUGGAGCUAAACCAAUGUGCCAGCUGUUUGAAUGAGUCACCUCAGAAGUGGAACAUCCAGUGCAACUGAGUCUUCAGAUAACUGCAGCCCCAGCUGAGACUGAUUGCAACCUCAUGAGAGACCCUGAGCCUGAACUGCCCGAUUUAGCUGCUUCCAAAAGCCUGGUCUACAGAA